rnacentral:misc_RNA from 1 species
GACGACCGCUCGGGCGCACCCGGCUUGGAAUACAGCCGGGUGCGUUCCUCGAGCGGCCGGCAGUUGCCCAUUCUUGUCUACUGACCCAGUUGCCUCGGCGGGCCGCUCCGCACUCGUGGACGGCCGGACACCCCUGGUCUGCGCCCGCCGGCGGACAUUUAUAAAACCAAUAUUCUUAGGUUGUCUGAGCGUAUAAAGCAAAUCAGUUAAAACUUUCAACAACGGAUCUCUUGGUUCCGGCAUCGAUGAAGAACGCAGCGAAAUGCGAUAAGUAAUGUGAAUUGCAGAAUUCCGUGAAUCAUCGAAUCUUUGAACGCACAUUGCGCCCUCUGGUAUUCCGGGGGGCAUGCCUGUUCGAGCGUCAUUGCAACCCUCAAGCUCGGCUUGUGUGAUGGGCGGCCGUCCAGCCUCCGGGCGAGGACGCGCCCGAAAUGCAGUGGCCAGGCCGCGACUCCGGCGCCUGAGCGAAUGGGAUUUCCAACGCUUCUAGGACCGGCCGGCUCCUGGCCUUUUAACCAGGACGGACUCCCUCCCUCUGGGGCGGGGGUGCGUCUCCUUCUUAAGGUUGACCUCGGAUCAGGUAGGGAUACCCGCUGAACUUAAGCAUAUCAAUAAGCGGAGGAAAAGAAACCAACAGGGAUUGCCCCAGUAACGGCGAGUGAAGCGGCAAAAGCUCAAAUUUGAAAUCUGGCUCCUCCGGGGUCCGAGUUGUAAUUUGUAGAGGAUGCUUCGGGUGCGGCCACGGUCUAAGUUCCUUGGAACAGGACGUCAUAGAGGGUGAGAAUCCCGUCUUGGGCCGUUGGUUCACGCCCGUGUGAAGCUCCUUCGACGAGUCGAGUUGUUUGGGAAUGCAGCUCUAAGCGGGUGGUAAAUUUCAUCUAAAGCUAAAUAUUGGCCGGAGACCGAUAGCGCACAAGUAGAGUGAUCGAAAGGUUAAAAGCACCUUGAAAAGGGAGUUAAACAGCACGUGAAAUUGUUGAAAGGGAAGCGCUUGCGGCCAGACUCGGGCGCGGGGUUCAGCGGGUGCUCGUCACCAGUGUACUCCCCGCCGCCCGGGCCAGCAUCAGUUCUGACGGCCGGUCAAAGGCCUCCGGAAUGUGUCGUCUCUCGGGACGUCUUAUAGCCGGGGGUGCAAUGCGGCCCGUCGGGACUGAGGA